UACGUAGGGUGCUAGCGUUGUUCGGAAUCAUUGGGCGUAAAGCGCGUGUAGGUGGCUUGUUAAGUCGGGUGUGAAAUCCCUGGGCUCAACCCAGGAAGUGCAUUCGAAACUAGCUCGCUAGAAGAUGGUAGAGGAAGGUGGAAUUCCAAGUGUAGAGGUGAAAUUCGUAGAUAUUUGGAGGAAUACCGGCGGCGAAGGCGGCCUUCUGGACCAUUCUUGACACUGAGACGCGAAAGCGUGGGUAGCAAACAGG
rnacentral:rRNA from 1 species